rnacentral:rRNA from 1 species
AUGUUAAUGGUCAGGUUAGCAAAUUCUUUGCCAAUGGUAGGGGCCUGCGGCAAGGCGACCCUGCCUCUCCCAUUUUAUUCAAUUUCAUUGCGGAUGCUUUAUCUCGCCUGCUCUCCAGGGCUGCUACUUGCGGGCAUUACUCCGGUUAGUUCUAAUCUUAUUUCCCAUGGUCUGACCCACCUCCAAUACGCGGACGACACUAUUAUUAUGGUUGAGCUGAAUGAGGCCUGCCUUACCCACCUAAAUUUUAUUUUAUUAUGCUUUGAGGCGAUGUCGGGGCUUAAGAUUAACUUCGCCAAAAGCGAAGUGGGUGUUACUGGUGUGGACGAGUCGGAAGCCGUGCGAGUGGCCCACCUUCUCAACUGUAAUCUGGGCUCCUUUCCGUUCAAAUACUUGGGUUUGCCUAUUUCCCCGGACGUGCUUCAUGCCAAAGAUUUUGCCCCGGUGGUCACAAAGGUGGGCAACAGGGUCCUUCCCUGGUGGGGUAGAUAUAAUACGAAUGCGGGUAAAGUGGCUCUAAUUAAUGCUUGCCUCUCCUCCCUCCCCAUGUCCCUGAUGGGCUUUUAUCUCUUGUCGGCUGGGAUUCAUGCUGGUUUUGAUAAACACCGUGGGGCGUUUUACUGGAAUGCGGCGGACAAUCGUCGCAAAUAUCACUUUGUUAAAUGGAAAUUGAUGUGUAGGCCCAAAAACCUUGGGGAGUUAGGGAUUCUUAGCACUUCCAUCAUGAAUCAGUGCUUGAUGAUUAAAUGGUGGUGGAAGAUUAUGAGCGCUGAGGAUCAGCCCCUCUGGCUGUCGAUCCUUAAGGCUAAAUAUUUUCCGUCCUCUAGCCUGAUGUUUGCUCUGCCGCGUGGUGGUUCUCAGUUUUGGAAGUCUCUGGUCAAAGUUAGACCUGUUUUUCAAUCUUUCGUUAAGUUUGUUGUUGGGGACGGAUCCUCGAUUAGGUUUUGGCUAGAUUGGUGGUAUGGAGAAUCACCUCUCUCGGUGACCUUCCCUACCCUUUUCUCUUAUUGUUCUGAUCCAAAUAUUUCUAUUGCGAAGCUAGCUUCCCAGGGGUGGAACCUGGCCUUUCGCCGCUCCUUGUCGCCUGUAGAGUUUGAAGAUUGGCAACGUCUUACUGCCCUCUUCCCUAUGCUCUUGACGGUCAGGGAUUCGGUGCUUUGGCCGCUGUCUGCCUCUGGACGCUUUUCUGUUAAAUCUCUUUAUUCUAAGCUUGUUGGUGGCACGCCUAUCAAUCGUUUCUCCCAAAUUUGGAAGGCUCGUAUUCCCCCUGAGAUUAAAAUUUCUUGUGGCAAGCUUUCCAAGGCCGGUUGCCCUCGGCUGAUCAAAUUCGUAAGAGAAAUGGACCGGGCUCCCAGUUUUGUGCCCUGUGCGGUGAUGUGGAAGACAUGGAACAUAUUUUUUUCACUGUCACCUGGCUAA